CGGGGUGAGUAACGCGUGGGUAACCUGCCUUGUACUGGGGGACAACAGUUAGAAAUGACUGCUAAUACCGCAUAAGCGCACAGUAUCGCAUGAUACAGUGUGAAAAACUCCGGUGGUACAAGAUGGACCCGCGUCUGAUUAGCUAGUUGGUAAGGUAACGGCUUACCAAGGCGACGAUCAGUAGCCGACCUGAGAGGGUGAUCGGCCACAUUGGGACUGAGACACGGCCCAA
rnacentral:rRNA from 1 species